UACGUAGGGUGCGAGCGUUUGUCCGGAAUUAUUGGGCGUAAAGGGCUCGUAGGCGGUUUGUCGCGUCGGGAGUGAAAACCAGGUGCUUAACACCUGGCUUGCUUUCGAUACGGGCAGACUAGAGGUAUUCAGGGGAGAACGGAAUUCCGUGGUGUAGCGGUGAAAUGCGCAGAUAUCAGGAGGAACACCGGUGGCGAAGGCGGUUCUCUGGGAAUGACCUGACGCUGAGGAGCGAAGUGUGGGGAGCGAACAGG
rnacentral:rRNA from 1 species